rnacentral:rRNA from 1 species
GACGAACGCUGGCGGCGUGCCUAAUACAUGCAAGUCGAGCGAAGUUUUUCUGGUGCUUGCACUAGAAAAACUUAGCGGCGAACGGGUGAGUAACACGUAAAGAACCUGCCUCAUAGACUGGGACAACUACUGGAAACGAUAGCUAAUACCGGAUAACAGUAUUUCUCGCAUGAGAGAUAUUUAAAAGUUGGUUAUGCUAACACUAUGAGAUGGCUUUGCGGUGCAUUAGCUAGUUGGUGGGGUAAAGGCCCACCAAGGCGACGAUGCAUAGCCGACCUGAGAGGGUGAUCGGCCACACUGGGACUGAGACACGGCCCAGACUCCUACGGGAGGCAGCAGUAGGGAAUCUUCCGCAAUGGGCGAAAGCCUGACGGAGCAACGCCGCGUGAGUGAAGAAGGAUUUCGGUUCGUAAAGCUCUGUUGUUAGGGAAGAAUGGAUAUGUAGUAACUAUACAUGUAAGAGACGGUACCUAACCAGAAAGCCACGGCUAACUACGUG